rnacentral:rRNA from 1 species
GACGAACGCUGGCGGCGUGCUUAACACAUGCAAGUCGAACGGAAAGGCCCUGCUUUUGUGGGGUGCUCGAGUGGCGAACGGGUGAGUAACACGUGAGUAACCUGCCCUGGACUUUGGGAUAACUUCAGGAAACUGGGGCUAAUACCGGAUAGGAGCUCCUGCUGCAUGGUGGGGGUUGGAAAGUUUCGGCGGUUGGGGAGGGACUCGCGGCUUAUCAGCUUGUUGGUGGGGUAGUGGCUUACCAAGGCUUUGACGGGUAGCCGGCCUGAGAGGGUGACCGGCCACAUUGGGACUGAGAUACGGCCCAGACUCCUACGGGAGGCAGCAGUGGGGAAUAUUGCACAAUGGGCGGAAGCCUGAUGCAGCAACGCCGCGUGCGGGAUGACGGCCUUCGGGUUGUAAACCGCUUUCGCCUGUGACGAAGCGUGAGUGACGGUAAUGGGUAAAGAAGCACCGGCUAACUACGUG